GUUUUCGUACUGCUCACCCAGCAUUUGACACUGGCUCUAACUAGUCACUCUUCUUGCCUGAACUUCACAUUGCAAAGAUUCCCUGUUCUUAUAUUGCUCCCUAAAUCCAAAACUGACCAAGUGUGACACAGUUUCAUUUUAUAGAUAGCCUAUUCUACAGCCAUUAUAAAAUCUAGGCAAUACCAGUGUACUUACUGGCAGGAUUGAUACUCAGUGUGUUUCUGGUAAUGUACCAAUUGUUUAAAGGUUUAACUACUUUGAUAUCAUGUGGCUAAUAAUUGUUACUUUGCUUAUCACCCCUGACAUCAUAACCUCAUGUUCAUGGUGUCUGGGAUCUCCCUUCAGUCGAAAAAAUGAUGGAUCAUUGCCUGACUCAGCAAUUUUCAGGCCUCUGUAUUGGUUUGUCUGAUUUUAUUCAUGAGUUUUAUUGCCACACUAUUAAAAGUUUUUAGGAUCAUCCCUACUUUGGGAAGCAUAUUGGAAAGUUACAAUAUUUAAGGAAAUAAAUCCAAAUGUUCAUUUAUAGGGAUUUUUGAAAAUUGUCAUCGGAAAUCAAGACAUAUUUAUUUAGUCCAUAGUUAUGUAUCAAACACCAUCUGUAUGUCUACCACUGAAAUAAAAGCUAAGAUACAUUUCCUAUCUUGUAAAUAAGGAAAUCCUCAGAUUGAGUGAAGUUGAAAGUUGGAAACAACUUUCAGAAAAAUUUGCUGGAUUAGAUGAUGAUGAAUCAGAAAUUGGAAGACAUAUUAUCAGAAGAGAAGAAACAUAGGUUGUCAAAGUAUAUGUGGUUGAGGAAAAACUCAACGGGAACUCUGAGAAUAAGUGAUGUUGCAUGAGAUCAAGGCAGUUGACUAAAUCAUUGAAAGCCAAGUUGAGCAGGAUGAAAUAUACAUUCUUUGCCGCACAAAGUUGUGCUUUAGUCAGAAGCAAAAGAUAUGAUUAUGCUGCUGUCUUUAUGGUCAGUGUGGCAGCCAAAGCAGGUCUAUAACGAAGGAAAGGGCAUCUGUCAUAGAAAUAGAGGAAUGGAUGCUGGCUACUUAUUGGGGGUGACUCUGAACCUGGAAGCGGAGCAGCAUCCCUCCCCAAGAAACACUGCAGAGGAAGAAUCCAUGUGCUGCAGUGAAUGUCAACAGAUGAAAAGCAUCAGGGUAGGGUGAGAGCUGGGAAAAUCAUGUUUGCAAAAACUGUAAAAAGACUGGACAGAAACAUCAAAGCAGCAAUUUUAGGACUCUGGAAGUUGAGAAAAAAAGCUUUCAACAAAUUAACAAGUAUUUGUUCAUAGGAAAACCACUGAACUUCAUGUAAGAAAAGUAGGAGUGUGUGGGGUUACUGCCUGGAAUACU